AGUGAACGCUGGCGGUAGGCCUAACACAUGCAAGUCGAACGGCAGCACAGUAAGAGCUUGCUCUUACGGGUGGCGAGUGGCGGACGGGUGAGGAAUACAUCGGAAUCUACUUUUUCGUGGGGGAUAACGUAGGGAAACUUACGCUAAUACCGCAUACGACCUACGGGUGAAAGCAGGGGAUCUUCGGACCUUGCGCGAUUGAAUGAGCCGAUGUCGGAUUAGCUAGUUGGCGGGGUAAAGGCCCACCAAGGCGACGAUCCGUAGCUGGUCUGAGAGGAUGAUCAGCCACACGGGAACUGAGACACGGCCCAGACUCCUACGGGAGGCAGCAGUGGGGAAUAUUGGACAAGGGGCGCAAGCCUGACCCAGCCAUCCCGGGUGGGUGAAGAGGGCCUUGGGUUUGUAAAGCCUUUUUGUGGGAAAAAAAAAGCAGCAGUUUAAUCCCCCGCUGUUCUGACGUUCCCAAAAAAAAAAGCCCCGGCUAACUUCGUG
rnacentral:rRNA from 1 species